UUCGAAAUUUGUUAACAUCAUAAACCGAAUCACAAAUAUAUGCCUCUAAUCUGUUAAUUUCUUCGAAAUAUUUUGUUCUUCUCCUUUCUGUUUUGAAGCGCAUAAAUCUUCGUGACAAAUUAUUGGAAAUUUUAACAUAUAUUUGUGAUUCGGUUUAUGAUGUUCUAGUAGUAUAAUCAUGUCGUCGGUUUUCUUCUGUUCUACAUGAUUCUGCAUUGUAGCCUGGUAAAGCAUAAAUUCGAUUAAGAAUAUAGUUGUUUUGUUUGCCGCUGGGAAUCAUUAUAACACAAUACGACUCUUGGAUAGUAAUAAAUCAUUAUUUGGAUGAUUGAUUCGAUAAUAGUGAUUUGUUACUAUCCGAUAUUCAUAUCGUGUUAGGGUUCGUAAUGCUGAAUCGUAAUGCUGAAGGAUUUGCUUAUCCAUUAGAGUUAUUGGACCUCCUGUUUGAUUUAAGCUUGGGGUGUCUUCGUGAGUUAUGGAAACCUAAUCAAUUUCGUGUUAGUGAAGCCUGAAAAUGGCUGGAAACGGGGUUCCUUGUUUCAGAAUAAGUAAAAUAAAGUGAUAAUUAGAAGCUUUCGAGAGGCUUGUUCUCUCCCAAACACCAAACGGAACUCUAAACAAUUUUCAACACGCUCUCUCCCUAUUGUUCUGUAUUUAUAGCAUUUGAUCCCUCACUAACUCUCUAGCUUAUUCUUCAAGCUACUACUAGAACUAACAACUAACUAAUUGUGCUAUGCCAAGGGCCCAAGAGUGCCCCUCUCAUAGUCUCAUUAGGUUGAUUUAUUAAAAAUUAUUUAUAUGUCUUGGUGUUAUAUGCUAUAUCGUAGUUGAGAACCUUGGUAUGCUACAACAGCCCGGUGUUGAUUGUUGGUGGGAGGGUUUGGAGAAGUCAAGACUUAGGUGAUAGCUCCAACAUUCUAUUUUAUCAUGUGGUAUUGACUUUACAUGUUACUAAUACGUGGGACCUUUGACCACCAACCAAAUUUCUUGGCUAUUACCCUAAUAUUGUGGCAAAUUAUGCGUUGCACCCAAGGGCCAAUCCCCAAGGAGCACCAAGCAUGGUUUGAGGUUCAUCAAUCAACCUACCAAUUAAGGUUUAUGAAUAUGAUCUUCUAAUUGAAUUUUAGUGACAAUGAUAUGCCCAUAACCGUAAAUGAAGCAUUGUUUGUUGAGCUAAAUUAAAUCAUAUCUUCAUUAACUAAGAUCUAUUCAUGAACCUACUAAUUAGUUGAACUUUAUCUGUCAGAACCCUUGUAAACAAUUUGAUUUCUCAUCUAUGUCAGGAUUAUUUACCAUGCCUCAGUUGGUUAGCCGAAUUGGGGUCAUUGGAGUGACCGUCAUGGCUGUCUUAUCAGGCUUUGGUGCUGUCAAUCUACCUUACAGCUAUCUGUCUCUCUUUAUUAGGUAUAUAGAUUAUUGCUCUCCUAGUUACGUUUAUUAUAUGGGUGUGAGAGCUUUACGUUGUGGGGGUUAUGCUUGUUAAGGAGAUUGAUGAGUUUGAAAUAAAUCAUUGGAGGGGCAAUUAAUGCAAUCAAUUGAGACAUGCGUUACCAAAAAGAACAAAAUUAUACUUUGUCAAAUGGAGAUGGAACGAAGUCAAGUAUCAGAAGAGAAGUUGAAUGCUCGAUCUUUCUUCAAGAGAAUUGUUGGAACAGUUGUGAGAUCUGUACAGGAAGACCAAAGGGAACAAGAGCAUAACUCGCCAACGAAAGAAAGGACAUGGUUUAUCUUGGUUCACCAUUCAAAACUCUUCGUCCUAUUUUGUUACAUUUACAACUUUUUCUGCCUGGUUCUGGUUGCAUCAACAUCCAAAAUAAGGGUAGCCUUCUAUGGUCCUAGCCUAAUAUGGGGCUCACCACCUUAGUGCAUUACCUGCCAAUAAUAAUUAAAGUGCUCUUUGAUGUUUCACCUUUGAAGGGGAUGAAGCUGGUGUCAUUUUUUCUCUACAUCCUCAACUUUUAUGUUGCUUAAUCUUCUCCCCGCCUCUCCAGAUAUCGAUGAUGAAGUGCUUCGUUAUAUUCAGUCAAGCAUCAAAGUCGCAGCGUCAUGGAGCUUUCUUGUCUUGAGUCAAAUGAAGAUGCAAGCUGACUUAAGAGUUAAAUGACUUGAAAGUUAGAAGUAAAUCCUAUGUGAUUAAUCUGUUCUCUUAAUAUACUGCAAAAUUUUGGCUAGUGUUUCUUCCUUUAAGACUCUGCACCUUUGCUUUUGCUUUUGCUUUUGCUGUGUUGAGAUGAUGUAUAUGGUCUAUGAAACCAAAUAGAAUGCGCGGAAUUUAGUAUAUUUCGGGUAUUACUUAGCUUGAUUUCUAACGAAUUUAGACACAAAGAAAACAAAGGGCUGAAAGCUUAAAGAAAUUAAUCACCAACUUUGGAAUUGUGUUUAACAAACAAAUCUGUUUGAACUCUCCUUUGUAUUUCGUGAAUGAUUAAUUCGAAUACAGAAAUAAGCUAUUUAAAUAAAACUGCUAUUCCGCUAUGCUUAGGACAAGUCCCUAAGUCAUUGUCCUACUAUAACUUUAUUUAAAAACUAGAUAACAACCGAAAACGAUAAAGGAUAACAAUAAAAAGAAUCCUAGAUGCUUAAAACAAGAAGAACCUAUCCCAAGUAGGAUAGUAAAAACAUGUAAGCCAAAUAAUAAAUAAACUAGCAUCUGGAGAGCUCUAAGAGAACUCAACUAUGACUGGCGUAAGCAUUACUUGCCGCCCAAGUCAUGGCGGACUUUGUAUUGAGGACUUUGUUUUGCCAGUUUUUGAUAGGUGGAUUGUGAAUUCUGGUAAAUUGGUGCAAGAAGAUUGUCAAUUGCAGAGCUUAAAUAUUAGUUCAACAUGGUCUUAGCACUUAACACUUUUUUUUUGACGUACAAUUCUUAAUACUUUUUUCACGAAUUCAUACUUUAAGAUCUUUAUGUAAAUGUCACAGAUUCUUGAUCGGAUCAACUCAUUAGUUGAAUCAGAAGGGUUAAUCACUGUCAACGAGUGUGGAAAUGUGGAUGGAAAACCUUUGGUUCUAUCUCCACAUCCUAACUUUAGAAUGUUUCUCACCAUCAACCCAAGCCGCGGUGAUGUGUCCCGGGCAAUGAGAAAUAGAGGAAUUGAAAUUGUUAUGAUGCACCCAAAUUGGCUGCUUAGUGAAGAUGGCAAGGAGAAGAAACAGGAUAUUGAAUUAGAUGAGGUUAAGAGCUUUCUUACUUUAUUUAACAUUCCUAAUAGGAUGCUGGUAGAUUGUAUGGCAAAAGCACACAUGCAUGCUAGGAAUGAAGGUCUGUUCCUUCAUGUUCAAAUUACUUAUCUUGAACUAGUUCGAUGGGUUCGCUUAUUUGAGCAGCUUUUAAUGACUGGCAAUGAUGUUCUUUGGAGCCUUCACUGUAGUUGGGAGCAUUCAUAUCUUUCGUCAUUAGGCGAACCUUCUGGAUUGCGUAUUGUCCAGGAAGCAAGAACUUCUUAUUUGAUGAGCAAUGGUUGCUUAGCUUUAGCAGGAAAGCUCUUUGCUGAUUCUGGGGAUGCUUAUUUGAAGCAAUUGACAGAGGUGUCUCAUGGUGAGUUAUCUCUUUGCUUGCCUGGUGGAUGGCUUGCGGGACUGAAACUUAAAGAUUAUGUUUGGUACUCAGUCGAAGCUUCUGUCAGACAAAACUUCCUGUAUCUGGAGUAUCUUGGAAUGCAGUGUGCAUCAUAUGAACUGUACAUUCCCAGGCAUCAGAUGUGAGGGAGGAUGUGUACUCCAAUAGUUCCAAAUCAAUGUAUUUGCUGGACUUGAAGAUGUUGCAGGAGAUAAUGUAUCCACGAGGUUCAAGUGGUGGAACUAUGAAGUGUGUUCUGACCAAGGACUUCGAUAUUCUGCUCACCAAGAAAAAGCUUUUGUUUGCUGCUGAUUGGGUCAUUGAUCAAGUUACCGGAAAAACUGAUCUUGACCUGUGUCUGUCGUGGUUACAUUGGUUUGAUGCGCAGUUGCACCCCUGCAGCAAUUUCUUUGGUUCUUUAGGUUUGGAGAAUCUACUUAGAAAGGAAUUGGCACACCCAAUCUGGACAUGCAUCUUUCAAUGUCGUCACGAAUUGUCUCAUCAGAGUGGAGACGUUGACCUGCAGUCGUUGCCAAUCCUCGCUUUAGAGUCUGUUGACUUGCUCGCAGGUUUAUCAAUAUCUUCUGCAAAGCUUUUUUAAUGCUAUCAAUAGUGUUGGACUUUUUAGACGUAGUCUCUGGCAGUGGAAUGCUGAGGUCAGUGAGCACUUGACUGAUAAAUAUAUUAAAUCUCUGGUGAAAUCCUUGCGCAAAUUGGAAGAAGUGCUAAAUGUGAUUGUUGAAUCUGUAUCUUUUGAAUUUUUACACCAAACAUACGCUGACCUUUUUGGAAGAGCACAUCUUAUUCUGGAAUAUCAUAGUGUCAUCAGAAUUCGAAACUCUGCUAGUUCAUUGGCGUGCUUUGAUGAAGAUUGUGCUGAAACUGAGAGAACUUUUCCCAGAAGCCGUAGAUAAUAUGCUCAGUCACUUAGUAUCUUCAUGCUCUUUGUAACUUGUGCUUUUAGCCUUUUAUAAAACAAUGCUCAAUUCGUACUUCUGGAUUGCAUAUUUGUAUUCUUUUCUGUCACUUCAGUCUUCUGGGUUGAUCAUAUUUGUGAACUAAUCCUACUUGUCAUUCUUGUAGAGAAGUUUUGAUACGAUGUCUGUAAAUCUGAAUAAGCGAUUGCCUUACUCUUUAAAUUCUGAGAAGUCAAUGUUAUGGGCACAUGGAGGUCAUCCAUCUUUACCUCGUUCUGCCGAUAUAUGUAAUAAACUUCAGCAACUUGUUGCCUUCACGAAGCUACUCUGGCCAGGGAAACAUUUGCAAAUGCAAUUUGAUGGUCGUCUCCUCGAAGUUGCUUUAUCAACCAAUCGAGAACUUCGUUUUCUUGCCAUGCAAGGAAGCUGCUGCUUUUUCUCGAACCUGGAAAGGCCAUAUGCAGAAUCUUUUGGGCUACGCAUGUUCAAUAUAUUGUGUAUACGAAAUGAUUAAGGUGGAGGCUUUUCUUACAUGUUCAGCUUACCUACUUCUGAUAUGAAGUUGUCUCAACGUGGUGGCUAAUCUGUACCUGAAAUCGUGAUUCAUCUUGACUUCUUUAAGAGAUGGAGAUUUACAAAAGUAAGGAGGCUGGUUCACAGUCGAUCCUGUCACAAAGACGAUCAGUAUAUUCCUACAAUACUUUGAUAUAGGAAUAGAUGCUACUUUACUAUCCCAGGUGAUAUAAUGCAUUCUUCAAAUAUUGCUUCUAGUAUAUAAUGACUUUCCUAUUGCUUUUGGUUAUUUUUAUGGACUGAACUUCAGAUACAUUGUUGCUCACAUUUGUUCUCUCCUAUCAUGUAAUGAUGGGUGUUCUUUAGAAAUGGAAUAACAUCUCUGUUUAUUUUGUCAAACUCUAUUGAAAAGAUAAACAUGUUCUGGCCUCUUAAAACAUGUUCUGGCCUAUUGGUCUGCAAAAUUACAGGUUUGACUGGACUGGAAUUCCGGUCCAGACCGGUUGGACCGGAAUUCCUAUUAUUUUAGUAAAAUAAAGGUUAAAAGAAGUUAAAAUAAAGUUAUGGGACCUCCUGUUUGAUUUAAGCUUGGGGUGUCUUUGUGAAUUAUGGAAACCUAAUCAAUUUCGUGUUAGUGAAGCCUGAAAAUGGUUGUGUUUCAGAGUAAGUAAAAUAAAGUGAUAAUUAGAAGCUUUCGAGAGGCUUUUUCCUCUCCCAGACACCAAACUGAACUCUAAACAAUUUUGAACAUGCUCUCUUCCUAAUGUUCUGUGUUUAUAGCAUUUGAUCCCUCACUAACUCUCUAGCUUAUUCUUCAAGCUACUACUAGAACUAACAACUAACUAAUUGUGCUAUGCCAAGGGCCCAAGAGUGCCCCUCUCAUAGUCUCAUUAGGUUGAUUUAUUAAAAAUUAUUUAUGUCUCGGUGUUAUAUGCUAUAUCGUAGUUUAGAACCUUGGUAUGCUACAACAGCCCGGUGUUGAUUGUUGGUGGGAGGGUUUGGAGAAGUCAAGACUUUACUUGGUAUUGACUUUACUUGUUACUGAUACAUGGGACCUUUGACCAUUAUACGUUGCACCCAAGGAGCACCAAGCAUGGUUUGAGGUUCAUCAAUCAACCUACCAAUUAAGGUUUAUGAAUAUGAUCUUCUAAUUGAAUUUUAGUGACAAUGAUAUGCCCAUAACCGUAAAUGAAGCAUUGUUUGUUGAGCUAAAUUAAAUCAUAUCUUCAUUAACUAAGAUCUAUUCAUGAACCUACUAAUUAGUCAUUAUCAAAUUGAACUUUAUCUGUCAGAACCCUUGUAAACAACAGGAUUAUUUACCAUGCCUCAGUUGGUUAGCCGAAGUCAUUGGAGUGACCGUCAUGGCUGUCUUAUCAGGCUUUGGUGCUGUCAAUCUACCUUACAGUUAUCUGUCACUCUUUAUUAGGUAUAUAGAUUAUCGCUCUCCUAGUUACAUUUAUUAUAUGGGUUAUGCUUGUUAGGGAGAUUGAUGAGUUUGAAAUAAAAUCCUUGGAGAGGCAAUUAAUUCAAUCAAUUGAAUGCAUUACCAAAAAGAAAAAAUUAUACUUUGUCAAAUGGAGAUGGAACAAAGUCAAGUAUCAGAAUAGGUUUAUUUUCUCAUCUCUGGUUGAUUUUCUUAGCUAUGUUAUUCCUGAGAGAGGAGGAACUCAUGUUGCUAAUUUAAGACUCAUGUUCUGAUCCAACAGCAAAGAUGGUGAAAUUUGAGAUUCUCUUUCUCGUUUUGUGAUUUUCAAUUUUCUGCUUUGAUUGUUUGGUUCACUAACUAGUUAUUGUUGUAGAAGUUGAAUGCUCGAUCUUUCUUCAAGAGAAUUGUUGGAAUAGUUGUGACAUCUGUACACGAAGACCAAAGGGAACAAGGCGGCACUCAUGUAGGGGGUUUCAGCAUUGAUGUUGAUGUUUUUCCUACUUCCUAGAGACACUUGAAAUACUGUCAAUUGAGAGUAAUAGCUACAAUGGAACGUGACUCCUCACAUGAUCAUGAGCUCAGGAUCCCAAGCGAUGAUAGAUCGUCGGGAUUGCUCGUGCAGGGAGAUUAGACGCUCAUCGUUGGUUGUUUGUUGUCCAGAUCGUGAUCGUCAUCCGCUUCUUCUACCACUUCCAUCAACCACAUGAGGAUUACAUCCACCAUCAAAGGCAGUGACCAGUGACUCCAGACUUUGUAUCAGUUUUACUUAUUCUGUUUUAGGUGGAAUGUACGAGCUCGUAAGGCUCCUUUACUUUUGUUUGUUUGUUUUAGUUUGGGUUGUAUUAAAAUUAGGUUGUACUUUCUUUUUUAAUUAAUGUACGAUUUUUCGAUGUCAAAAAAACUUAUGCUUUUAAAAGUUGUCAUAAUGUAGAAGACAGUUCAUAAUUCUUUAGAGUUCAAGGUUUAGAAAGUUGCAUUAAACUAAGAGCAUUCCAAGAAAUACAAGGAACUAAGUUGUUAUAGCAUGGACAAUCCUAGCCAAAACGACUCUACUUAUAUCCACCAACAAAAUGGGCGACCUCAUGGGCUGCCUCAUGAAUAACCAACCUUGGAUACAAUAAAACUUAAUAGUUAACUAACCAAUAUGCAGCUCGAUAAACUUCUCUAUAGAAACAAUGGAUUGUGAUUUCCAACUCGGACUUACUAAUCGAUGUCUUGCACUUAUUUACUACACAACAUGACAAUAUUGAGAAGAUGGGGGUUACAUUAUCUAUCAAAAAAAAGUACCAGCUUUGAGUUAUUUGUGAUUGUGUAUUCGAUGGUGACCCGCAUGUAUAGCAUCAAUAGGCGUUACAUCGCCGCUAAAUAAUCGGUAUUCAAUAUAACAUUAGUUGGUUUGAAGUAUUGAAACGUAGAGUUAAGCUUACAAAUAGGGAUUAAUGUUUUGAAUUUUUAAUUUCACUUUUAAGGACCUCAUAUAUUUUUGUUCAUUCUUUAGGUACUAAGUUCACAAUUUUAG